CGUGCCAGCAGCCGCGGUAAUACGAAGGGUGCAAGCGUUACUCGGAAUUACUGGGCGUAAAGCGCGCGCAGGCGGCUAUUUAAGUCUUAUGUAUAAACCCAAGGCUCAACCUUGGAUCGCAUGGGAAACUGGGUGGCUUGAGUGUAGGAGAGGAAAGUGGAAUUCCACGUGUAGCGGUGAAAUGCGUAGAUAUGUGGAGGAACACCAGUGGCGAAGGCGACUUUCUGGCCUAUAACUGACGCUGAGGCGCGAAAGCGUGGGGAGCAAACAGG
rnacentral:rRNA from 1 species